UAGAAAACUUAGAGCUCAUUAAUAUGCGCUUAAUUCAAACAACUUUAAAUGGACUUAUGUUGAACAAAUGAAUAAAUUCAUGUAUUUUUAUGGAUAAUAUAUUUUCUAUUAGAUUAUCAAUGAUGAAUAUCACAGAUAUAGUUCUCUAUAUCCAGUAUAAUCAACAUAUUAUGAUUGUGAAAACCAACACUUGAAAAUUGAAAACAAAAACAAUGAAAUAUUGAAAAAAAUAUUUGCGUGUUCACGAUAAUCCGAAUAAUUGCAUUUUUAUGGUUACACUUCUAGAUAACGUGUUUAUUUUCAUUCAUUGUUUAUCUGUUAUUGCUGUAUGUCUUUUUUGUAUACUUCGUUAAUGUUUUGUUCCAUUUUUUGCACCAUUUCUUGGGCGCAGGAAUGUGAACACCGCUUGAUUGAUUCAAGCUGACGUAUUGUGGUCAUAUUUUUUGGAUGGACUUGAAUUAGUCUAAUAUAGGUGCUCCAAUUGUGCUUAUUUGCUGCUGGUUUAAGAUAUUUAUUCUUACGCAUAACAGCCUGAAACUAGAAAUGAAGUUCUGGGAAAUUAACCUUUUGCUGCUUUAUUUUUUUGGAUACUAUAAUGCCGUCACGUCAUUUCAAGUGGGCGUCGGCCGUGCUGAUUGUACUGGACCUCCUGUUGAAAUAGUCUUUGUAGGUUCUGUGACUUGGAACUAUAUUUGAUAUCGAGUUUGUUCUAAUUUUCGAUGACUUUUAAAUAAAAUAACUUGAUAAAGUAGUGGACAAUCACAAUUGCCCAUUCCAAGUGCUCAGACUUUAACUUUAA